rnacentral:rRNA from 1 species
UACGAAGGGGGCUAGCGUUGCUCGGAAUGACUGGGCGUAAAGGGCGCGUAGGCGGCGUGCCCAGUCAGGCGUGAAAUUCCUGGGCUUAACCUGGGGGCUGCGCUUGAUACAUGCAUGCUCGAGUGUGGAAGAGGGUCGUGGAAUUCCCAGUGUAGAGGUGAAAUUCGUAGAUAUUGGGAAGAACACCGGUGGCGAAGGCGGCGACCUGGUCCAUAACUGACGCUGAGGCGCGAAAGCGUGGGGAGCAAACAGG